GAGUUUGAUCUUGGCUCAGAGUGAACGCUGGCGGUAGGCCUAACACAUGCAAGUCGAACGGCAGCACAGUAAGAGCUUGCUCUUAUGGGUGGCGAGUGGCGGACGGGUGAGGAAUACAUCGGAAUCUACUUUUUCGUGGGGGAUAACGUAGGGAAACUUACGCUAAUACCGCAUACGACCUACGGGUGAAAGCAGGGGAUCUUCGGACCUUGCGCGAUUGAAUGAGCCGAUGUCGGAUUAGCUAGUUGGCGGGGUUAAAGGCCCACCAAGGCGACGAUCCGUAGCUGGUCUGAGAGGAUGAUCAGCCACACUGGAACUGAGACACGGUCCAGACUCCUACGGGAGGCAGCAGUGGGGAAUAUUGGACAAUGGGCGCAAGCCUGAUCCAGCCAUACCGCGUGGGUGAAGAAGGCC
rnacentral:rRNA from 1 species